CAAUCAAUCAAUCAAUCAAUAAACAACAACAAAAACAACCCCCUAGAUAUAUAGAUCCAGCCUAUAAAGUAGAAAUGAGAAGAAAAACUUUUAACAUUUCUUCCAUAUCAUCAAAAGGACAUCACUUCAUUAAACACCACUGUUACUAUAGGAAACCCUGACGUUUGACGAUGUGACUGUGGACUUCACGUGGGAGGAGUGGCAGCUCCUGACCCCUCCUCAGAAGGACCUGUACCAAGAGGUGAUGCUGGAGAACUAUAGCAACCUGCUGUCUGUGGGUUAUCAAGCCAGAAAGCCAGACGUACUCUCUAAUUUGGAUCACGGAGAACCAUGGAUGAUAGAAGAUGAAAUCCACUGUCGAACCCAUUCAGGUGAG